rnacentral:lncRNA from 1 species
GGAAGAAAAGAAAUUGAUGACAACAUAUCCUAAUCUAGAACCCAAAAGGGGAGGUUUUCUAUCUUUUCACUUUCCAAUUGUUAUUGAAUGCUUUAAUUCUACCUUUUCUUUCCAAGAAUUUGCCAUUAAACCUUUUCAAAAGUUGCAAUCUUUAACAUAUGGCAAUCAAAGACUUGAGUUAGAGAUAUCUUCCAAGUUAUCACUAAUUCAAGACAAAAAUAUAUUUUCAAAUGGAGUAAGGUUUCUUUUUAGUCAAACUUGAAAAUUUCAAAGUUAGGAAACCUUCUUCUAA